rnacentral:rRNA from 1 species
GCCUAGGAAAUUGCCUUGAUGUGGGGAUAACCAUUGGAAACGAUGGCUAAUACCGCAUAAUGCCUACGGGCCAAAGAGGGGGACCUUCGGGCCUCUCGCGUCAAGAUAUGCCUAGGUGGGAUUAGCUAGUUGGUGAGGUAAUGGCUCACUAAGGCGACGAUCCCUAGCUGGUCUGAGAGGAUGAUCAGCCACACUGGAACUGAGACACGGUCCAGACUCCUACGGGAGGCAGCAGUGGGGAAUAUUGCACAAUGGGCGAAAGCCUGAUGCAGCCAUGCCGCGUGUAUGAAGAAGGCCUUC